CUUGGUCAUUUAGAGGAAGUAAAAGUCGUAACAAGGUCUCCGUUGGUGAACCAGCGGAGGGAUCAUUACCGAGUUUACAACUCCCAAACCCCUGUGAACAUACCUAUCGUUGCCUCGGCGGUGCCCGCUCCGGCGGCCCGCCAGAGGACCCCAAACUCUUGUUUUAUACAGUAUCUUCUGAGUAACACGAUUAAAUAAAUCAAAACUUUCAACAACGGAUCUCUUGGUUCUGGCAUCGAUGAAGAACGCAGCGAAAUGCGAUAAGUAAUGUGAAUUGCAGAAUUCAGUGAAUCAUCGAAUCUUUGAACGCACAUUGCGCCCGCCAGUAUUCUGGCGGGCAUGCCUGUUCGAGCGUCAUUUCAACCCUCAAGCCCCCGGGCUUGGUGUUGGGGAUCGGCGUGCCCUCGCGGCGCGCCGUCCCCGAAAUCUAGUGGCGGUCUCGCUGUAGCUUCCUCUGCGUAGUAGCACACCUCGCACUGGAAAGCAGCGCGGCCACGCCGUUAAACCCCCCACUUCUGAAAGGUUGACCUCGGAUCAGGUAGGAAUACCCGCUGAACUUAAGCAUAUCAAUAAGCGGAGGA
rnacentral:rRNA from 1 species